GAUUGCUAUAAAGUGUAAAAUAAUUAUCGUUCAAACUUGUACUAUAUGAUUUGGUGUUUUGUCUUUAAACUCAUCUAAAAGUAAAACUAUAAAUUAAUGGAGGCAAGUGUGAAGGAGAUUUCACACGAUGUACAAUU